CCUACGGGAGGCAGCAGUGGGGAAUAUUGGACAAUGGGCGCAAGCCUGAUCCAGCCAUGCCGUGUGAGUGAAGAAGGCCCUAGGGUUGUAAAGCACUUUCAGUUGGGAAGAAACGCAGAGGGUUAAUACCCCUCUGUAAUGACGUUACCGACAGAAGAAGCACCGGCUAACUCCGUGCCAGCAGCCGCGGUAAU
rnacentral:rRNA from 1 species